CUCAAUGGGGGAAACCCUGAAGGAGCGACGCCGCGUGGAGGAUGAAGGCUUUCGGGUUGUAAACUCCUGUCAUUUGGGAACAAGGGCCCCGAAUUUAACUGGUUCGGGGUUGAUAGUACCAGAAGAGGAAGAGACGGCUAACUCUGUGCCAGCAGCCGCGGUAAUACAGAGGUCUCGAGCGUUGUUCGGAUUCAUUGGGCGUAAAGGGUGCGUAGGUGGCACUGUAAGUCGGGUGUGAAAUCCUGAGGCUUAACCUCGGAACUGCAUUCGAUACUGCGGUGCUUGAGGACUGGAGAGGAGACUGGAAUUCAUGGUGUAGCAGUGAAAUGCGUAGAGAUCAUGAGGAAGACCAGUGGCGAAGGCGGGUCUCUGGACAGUUCCUGACACUGAGGCACGAAGGCCAGGGGAGCAAACGGGAUUAGAUACCCCGGUAGUCCUGGCAGUAAACGGUGCACGUUUGGUGUGGGAGGAUUCGACCCCUUCCGCGCCGGAGCUAACGCGUUAAACGUGCCGCCUGGGGAGUACGGUCGCAAGAUUAAAACUCAAAGAAAUUGACGGGGGCCCGCACAAGCGGUGGAGUAUGUGGCUUAAUUCGAUGCAACGCGAAGAACCUUACCAGGCCUUGACAUGCAUCUCUAAGCGGGUGAAAGCCCGUGACUCCCGAAAGGGAGAAUUUGCACAGGUGCUGCAUGGCUGUCGUCAGCUCGUGUCGUGAGAUGUUGGGUUAAGUCCCGCAACGAGCGCAACCC
rnacentral:rRNA from 1 species